GUCAAAAUAAAAUUUAACAGUGUCAUAAGAUUAAAAUAACAAAGUUCAAAGAUGAAUUUAUAUAUUGAAUCUAAUAGUACAUGAGUUAAUAAAAGAUUUGAAAUUAAUUUAAACAUGCAUGAAUAAUGAAUCUAGUAAAGAAUACUGAACAAAAUAAAUAAAUGAAGCAGUCGCGCUAAGUUUCAUCAAAACAAAUAAAGCUAGUUUUAUUACAGCACAAAAUAUUAUCUGGCCUUGGAGAAAAUGUAAAACCACCAAACAAGCUUGGGCCUUUCUAUACAAGCCCACAAUUAAUUUAUCCAGCCAAACUCACGUGACGCACACAAUUAGUUAGUUAGUAUAGCCAAUAUACAAGCAGACACAUAGGAUUAGAUUUAGAUCUAGCGUAAAUAGGCAGCAAUUAUUUUUUUCUAUUCAUUAUCCUGUAAUCAUCUUAUUCUUCUUCAAUAUGCUAUAGUCUACAAAUCUCUGUAGAUUUCAUAUCCAUAUCUUUAUAUUAUAAUUUACAAUUCUGAUCAUGAUAUCAGAGUCUGAGAUUCAGUAACUCAAAUUCAUUCUAGCUCCAUCUCUAUCAUUUUUUCUUCCACAAGCAUCUGAUCAACUUAAUCAGCCAUGGUUACAACUCCACCAGGAGGAACAGAAAUCGAAGAAUCAUAAAAAUUGAGGCUACACAACUCUCAAUCCGACCACAAAUCUUGUGAGUGUAUUACUUCAUGGAAAUAAUUGCCUAUCUUGGAAUAAAUCUAUGUUGAUUGCAUUGAGAGUUGAAUAUAAGCUAGGGUUUAUUGAUGGCCUGUACAUUAAACCUUAAAUUAACUCACCUAUGUUAGAUAAAUGGAUGAGAGUAGAUAGUAUGGUGAUUUCAUGGAUCUUAAGUUCAAUCUCAAAAGACAUAGUAAAGAGUUUUUUAUAUGCUAGCUGUGCAUAGUAGAGAGGUUUUUAUAUGCUAACUGUGCAUAAGAACUUUGGGAAGAACUAGCACAGAGAUUUGGUGAGUGGAAUGGGCCCUUACUCUACCAAAUUAAACAAGAAAUCUCAAAUAUUAAGCAAGGUAACACCUCUAUUAUGAAUUACUUUACUAAGAUGAAGAAGCAGUGGGAUGAAUUGACAUGCUUAAGACCCUUACCUACAUGCACAUAUGGUGCCUCCAAGACUAUGAUAGAAUUAGAUAAUGAAGAUAAGUUGAUUCAAUUCUUGAUGGGCCUCAAUGAUUCAUAAGAUAAUGUAAGGAAUCAGAUCCUGUUAAUGGAACUGUUUCUUAGUGUAAACAGUGCAUAUUGAAUGGUUUUAAAGGUUGAGAAACAGAGGGAAGUCCACACGCUGACUUUUGAUUCAAAUGAGCACUCAUCAACUUUGUAUGCAAAUAUACCAAAUAGCAAUCAAAGGUUUAGUAACAAGGAUAAUAGAUUUUAUAACAAAAGAAAAGAGGACAGAUACUACAGUUAUUGUAAGAAGGGUGGUCACAUUAAAGAAACCUACUUCAAAUUUCAUAGAUAUCCAGAAUGGUUUGCAGGUUUCAAAUAGAAGAAAGCAUAAGCAAAUGUGAGUGAAGUCACACAGAUCUUUGAAACUCCUAUGGACAAUUCAACGGUGAUGAAUGCAGCAGUGUAUGGAGAGCAUAAUGACAGCAUUGCAAAGCUGGUUCAACAGGAAGUAAUUAAGAUAAUGAAACGCAAAGAGAUACAGAACUACCACUCCAGUGGAGAUGUAGACAAUGCAAAUAACAUAAGCUUUGCAGGAUAUGCAGAAUGAUGAGAUUAUUGCUAUUGGGAAGGUGACUGGAGGGCCAUAUCUUUAAAUAAUACUUCCUUUUGUCCUAAUACUACAUGUAAUGUUUCUAUUGCUUGUGAAAACCAUAAUAACAACAUGGGGAUGCUUUGGCAUGCUAGACUAGGACACAUUUCAAACAAUAGAUUGAGACAUAUACCAAUAAUAUUGAAUGCAUGUGUUGAAUUUGAUGACUGUUGUAUUUGUCCACAAUCGAAAUAGCAAAGCUUACCAUUUCCUACCA